GCAGACACACUCUGUUCUUUGCUGUGCACUCCGGCAUGGGACUUUUUCUGUCUGCUACAUGAACAUGCAGAAUGUAGCACGGUACUGGCUUUCUAAAAGGCUGGUGUUUGUAUGUUCUGCUACAUUACA